rnacentral:rRNA from 1 species
GACGAACGCUGGCGGCGUGCUUAACACAUGCAAGUCGAACGGAAAGGCCCCUUUGGGGGUACUCGAGUGGCGAACGGGUGAGUAACACGUGAGUAACCUGCCCUUGACUUCGGGAUAACUUCAGGAAACUGGGGCUAAUACCGGAUAGGAAUCCUUGCUGCAUGGUGGGGGUUGGAAAGCUUCGGCGGUUUUGGAUGGACUCGCGGCUUAUCAGCUUGUUGGUGGGGUAGUGGCUUACCAAGGCUUUGACGGGUAGCCGGCCUGGGAGGGCGACCGGCCACAUUGGGACUGAGACACGGCCCAGACUCCUACGGGAGGCAGCAGUGGGGAAUAUUGCACAAUGGGCGGAAGCCUGAUGCAGCAACGCCGCGUGCGGGAUGACGGCCUUCGGGUUGUAAACCGCUUUCAGCAGGGGCGAAGCUUGUGGUGACGGUACCUGCAGAAGAAGCACCGGCUAACUACGUG